rnacentral:lncRNA from 1 species
CCUAGUGUGUGCCUAUACUGCAGGAUAUACUACCUGCUUGAGCAGCUGCAACUGCCGCAGCAACUUGAGCUUGAACGAGAGCCUCUAGCUGGGCUUUUGUUUGGGUGACAGAUGUUGUUAAUGGUGGAGGUCUGCAAGUUCCGCAGCAACUUGAGCUUGAACGAGAGCCUCUAGCUGGGCUUGAGUCAUGUUAAUUCGUCCGGCCAUUGAUCUUCACAUCAAAGGCAACAUAAGUGAGAAAGGUUCGCGAAUAGUGCGAUGACAGAAGAGUGUAAGCACAUAGGUGUUCUCAAGCAAUAACAAGUAGUGAGCAAAGUAAUGUAAGCAUACUACGAGCAAAGUUCUAUGCAGUUCUAGCAAGCAGGUAAUAAACAUAAACCUUAUUACCUAGUAUGUCGAGUCUUGCACGUGGAGCGAAGCGUCGUUGUGGAUCGUUGAGAGCACUGUUCUGGUUACAGUCUGGUUUUAAUAAAAACGUUUUCCCAUAUUAAAACCAAGUUCUCUAUAACCAAUGGCUCUGAUACCAAUCUGUC